rnacentral:rRNA from 1 species
GACAGAGGUGCCGAGCGUUAGGCGGAAUCACUGGGCUUAAAGCGUGUGUAGGCGGGUCGUUAAGUGUCUUGUGAAAUCCCACCGCUCAACGGUGGAACUGCUGGGCAUACUGGCGAUCUUGAGCCACCUAGGGGCGAGCGGAACAAGCGGUGGAGCGGUGAAAUGCGUAGAUAUCGCUUGGAACGCCGACGGUGAAAACAGCUCGCUGGGGGUGUGCUGACGCUGAGACACGAAAGCCAGGGGAGCAAACGGG